UACGAAGGGGGCUAGCGUUGCUCGGAAUCACUGGGCGUAAAGCGCACGUAGGCGGCUUCUUAAGUCAGGGGUGGAAUCCUGGAGCUCAACUCCAGAACUGCCCUUGAUACUGAGAGGCUCGAGUCCGGGAGAGGUGAGUGGAACUGCGAGUGUAGAGGUGAAAUUCGUAGAUAUUCGCAAGAACACCAGUGGCGAAGGCGGCUCACUGGCCCGGUACUGACGCUGAGGUGCGAAAGCGUGGGGAGCAAACAGG
rnacentral:rRNA from 1 species